CAAUGAGGCCGCAGAGAAUCGGUGGCUGCGACUGUUUAUUAAAAACACAGCACUCUGCAAAGACGAAAGUCGACGUAUAGGGUGUGACGCCUGCCCGGUGCUGGAAGAUUAAAUGAUGGGGUGCAAGCUCUUGAUUGAAGUCCCAGUAAACGGCGGCCGUAACAAUAACGGUCCUAAGGUAGCGAAAUUCCUUGUCGGGUAAGUUCCGACCUGCACGAAUGGCGUAACGAUGGCCACACUGUCUCCUCCAGAGACUCAGCGAAGUUGAAAUGUUUGUGAUGAUGCAAUCUCCCCGCGGAAAGACGGAAAGACCCCAUGAACCUUUACUGUAGCUUUACAUUGGACUUUGAACAGAUCUGUGUAGGAUAGGUGGGAGGCUUUGAAGCGGUGCCGCGUAGGUGUCGUGGAGCCAACGUUGAAAUACCACCUGGUGUGUUUGAGGUUCUAACCUUGGCCCGUUAUCCGGGUUGGGGAC
rnacentral:rRNA from 1 species